GAGACUCCCUUCCUUGAUGAGGGACGUGCUCCGGGAUCCCACCCCGCCCCCAGCCAUUGAAGAGUGGCCAAAUGCUGGUCCCAAAUGACCUGAUUUGAUUUUUUAAGUGUAAACCGUGGGGUUGGUUCUUGGGUGAAGAUUCCCCUGCUCAUAGCUAUUAGGCUAGUGUUCGGAAGUUUUCAGUCCUUGUUUUUCCGUUGACUUGGCUGCCUAUGUCAGUCUAGGAGAGCUGGAAGCAGCAAGCGCCCAUAGAAAGCCUGUGGUUAAAGCUCAAACGACAUAGUGUAGUCUCGACUAAUUGAAUCAACACGUAUGGAUAGCAACAUUCUUUUUAGGUCCUCUUCUGGAAAGGGUCCAUUUGGCCAAAAGCAGCCUUUCACUGUUACUCAACCUCCUGAAAAGUAACCAUAGUAACUCACCUCUCUUUUGAUGGGAUCCUCCUUAUUGGCUGCCUAUCUUCCUUUGGAAAGCGCAUCUCUCUAAAUAUAGAAGAUGAUGAGAUCCGUAAGCAUACAUCCAUAUAGAAAAGGUGCAGUUAAACACGGCCCUUUAAAGAAAAGCUGUCUUCAAAGAAAAAGUAGCAUUUGGUGAUUUCAAUUCUUGUGAGAAAGAAUGUGCAUUCCAAAGAAAGACCAGGCUUGUCUGUUUUGAGUUAACUGCUGGUUGUUACUUUAGAGGGAAUACUUCCUGAAAUUAUAUAAAAUCUGGCGUUAAAAUUUAAGAAUUAUUCUGAUUUUUUAAGAAAAAAUCAUCCUACUGAUAAUCUUCCAAAAAUAAUCUCCCAAGUAAAUAACUGAUCUCAGGUAACCAUUCAUGAGCCUGAGGCUGUGAGAAAUGCUUGCUGUGCAAAGGGGAACUCUCACCAGAUUUUCUGAAGCUGUUCUAGAAAUACACUUUUCGGAUUGAUUCAGCAUUACCAGCUUAUCCAACAAAAGUAUUAACAUAUACAUUAACAACGUCGAAAGUAGCCUACUUUAAGAGAAAAUAUGCAGAAGAAGAAGAUUUACAUCAAGAUUACCAUGGCUAUUUUCCAAAACACCUGAUAUUGCCUGAGGACAGAACUUGCAUUCUCAAACUUUCUCUGGAGAAGCUCAGGUUUCUUGAAGACCCAGAAACCUACUUAAGAAGGUCUGUGUUAAUUAACAAUUUGCUGAGGAAGAUACAUCUAGAGACGGAGAAAGAGAGCUAUGAAUACUUUAAAGAAGCUCCCUGUUGUAAGACUUCAUAUUCUGAUACAAGAAAACGGCUGAAGUUUAUGGUACAGGAAUGCUGUUCUCAGUCUCUCUAUUAUGAAGAACUGCAUUCAUAUCAUAUUGUGCCUUAUGCUUCGGAGAAUGCCAUUUAUGAAAUGGGCUACACUAGCAGCCACUUGGAGCAAAAUUCUCAGUUGCUUAUUUAUAAAAUGAAUUAAAGUAACUGUUAAGUUCAUUGA